CUGAAUAAUAAGCUUAAUCGUAUAGAGCGGGGGAAUCAUUAUCGGCAGUAAAGCUGCCUUGGGGUGAAUCCUUACAAAAGGUAGGAAACUCUCAAUUCCGAAUCCGACAGUUAACCCCGUUUGCUUUAUUGAGAGAAAGA
rnacentral:sRNA from 3 species